CAGUCUUUCAAUAUAACCACUCUACUCACUUUGUAACAGGUGAAUUGAGAGUAAAUUUAUUAUUUGAGGAAACAGCAAUUCAUGAAUCAGCGCCAAAGCAAAGUGAUUUAAGCUCUACCUAAGAGGCAUAGGUUGGGGGUUAUCAGGUGAAUGCAGAAGCAAGACAAAGAAAAUAUUUGACUGGGUAAGGUGGACUACUGGCCUUGAAAUUAGAGUUUAGUUGGAGGUUUGUUUGGCAAAGAUCCUAAUUAGAGUUUGCUGGGUUUUUGUUGGCUAAAUUUAAGUUUUGCUUUACCACUUACACAGAGUUGGGUUUGGAUUUGCUUACAUAGGAAUCGACACUGGAACUGUUUUGGUGUAACAGCCUCCCAAAUAGUGCUUUGUUUUUAAGAUUUAUUUAUUUGAAAGGUCAUUAGAUAGAGGCAGAAGGAGAGAGAGAGAGGGAGAAGGAGAGGGAGAGGGAGAAGGAGAGGGAGAGAAGUAGUGGGUGGAGAGAGAGAGAGAGAGAGAUAUCUACUAUCUGCUGGGUUACUCCCCAGCUGAGCUGGGCCAAGCCAAAGCCAGGAGCUUAGAGCUCCAUCCAGGUCUCCUACAUGGGUGACAGGGGCCCAAACCCUGAGCCACCACCCUCUGUUGCUUUCUCAGGAAUAUUAGGAGGGAGCUGGAUCAGAAGCAGGGCAGCCAGGGCUGUAAGCAGCUCUGUGAUAUGGGAUGUGACUUAAUUUGCUGCCCCACAAAGCUAGCCCCCAAUUACUUUUUUAACAGGGAAAUCCUCAACAAGUCGGCAGGAGAGCAGGCCUGAGGAAGAAGACACUUACCAGUAGCAUACUCCCUGUGGGAGCGAAGGCUACACGGAAGAGCCACCCCUGGUGCAGAAGAACAAAUACAGUACAUGUGCCUACAGCACAAACCCAAAUCACAGGUAAUGAGGAGCCACUAUUUACAGGGAAAUCAGAGAGGAAAGUCAAGGGAGUUUCAUUAGCAGACAGAAUCAGGUUGGCAGAAGCCAUCCAAAUAGAAUUUUUCCAUCCAAAACCUUUUUCAAGGAGACACUGCAAAGGAGCAUCUUAUCUCAUACACAGUCAGCUCCCUCUAAAUAGUCAUGUUGGUUUCUGGAUACAAACAUUUAACAGAUGAAACUAUAAUAACCACAGAGCUGGAAGGAGAGCAUGUGGCACCCCUGUCCUUGGGAAUAACCCCUGGUUCUGAUGCCAUGCAGUUCUGGAGCCUGAUACCAACUCCAUUUUAAAAACCAAUUUCUUAAUGAGACGGGAUUCCACUGCAAGCUGAUGGCCUUUGAGACAAUCAUCAUCAUGUAGCAUUCCUUAAGCAACCAAGGGAGCAUAAAAUUAGAAAUUCUUAAGUGCAUCCACUCUGUUUAUCACUUCUCCUGUCCAUGUAUUCACUCCAAGUGUGUAUAUAAUACAACUACAGAAACAGUACAAAUGUAGCACAUCAGUCCCAUUCAUCCAGUUUGAUUGCCAGUAACAAACCCAGCUGCCACCAACAUAGCUCUAGAGGUUUUUAGCUCCACACCGUGCCAGUCAUAGGAAAAGUUGAAUUAUGCCAGUUAUUAUCUAUUUUUAAAGAUUUAUUUAUUUACUUGAGAGGCAGACUUAGAGAAAGGGAAAGAGAGAGAGAGAGAGAGAGAAUCUUCCAUCCUCUGGUUCACUCCCCAAGUGGCUGUAAAGGCCAGGGGUGGGGCAGGAUGAAGCCUAGAGCCAGGAACCCCAUUCUGGUACCCCAUUCAGUGCCAUACCAGGGGCCCAGGGACUUGGGCCAUCUUCCAUUGCUUUCCCAGGAGUAUUAGCAGAGGGCUGGAUCAGAAGUGGAGAAGCUAGGACUCAAACCAACACUCAUAUAAGAUGUGGGAGUUGCAGGUGGUGGCUUAACCCACACCACCACAACAGCCUCAUCAAUUAUUUAUAUGCACAAUUGUAAAAUUAAUAUUUUCCUCAUUAUUGUGUGCCACACAGCACCUGAUUCAAUGGUUAGUAAAUACAUCUUUUCCUCCCAAUAGACUGUAGGUUCAUCAGAAAAGGAUUUUUCCUCUUAUGUUAAACAAUAUACCUGGUAUCUAACAUGUAUUUGGCACAAAAUAACAUUCAAUACAUAUUUUCAAGAAAUAUAGUAAGAAAGGCACAUUGGCCUGAAUAAAUACUUUUCUCUAAAAAUUAACUUUAACUCA
ensembl:lncRNA